rnacentral:SRP_RNA from 1 species
GCCGGGCGCUGUGGUGUGUGCCUGUAGUCCCAGCUACUCUGGAGGCUGAGGUGGGAGGAUCGCUUGAGCCCAGGAGUUCUGGGCUGUAGUGCGCUAUGCCGAUCGGGUGUCCGCACUAAGUUCAGCAUCAAUAUGGUGACCUCCCGGGAGCGCGGGACCACCAGGUUGCCUUAAGGAGGGGUGAACUGACCUAGGUCGGAAAUGGAGCAGGUCAAACAACUCCCGAGCCGAUCAGUAGUGGGAUCGCGCCUGUGAACAGCCACUGCACUACAGCCUGGACAACAUAGCGAGACCCCGUCUCA